CAAGUACUCCCUCCGUCCGGAAAUACUUGUCAUUGAAAUGGAUGUAUCUAGAUGUAUUUUAGUUCUAGAUACAUCCAUUUUCAUCCAUUUUGAUGACAAGUAAUUCCGGACGGAGGGAGUAGGUG
rnacentral:pre_miRNA from 1 species